UAUUCUGAAAAUUCUCAAUAUAAUAAAUUAAGACUUUUAGCAUAUUCUUCUUUAGCAUUCAUCAUAAGAAAUUCUGUUAACAUUGUUUUUCCGAUCAUAGGGUUAUUUAUAAUUUUAGUAAUGGUAUCAUUACUUUUGAAGGAAACUAACCAUUAUCCUUCCAAAUGUACUUGAAGAUGGUAUACACUUGGAUUCAUUUCGCUAAUAGGGAAAG
rnacentral:lncRNA from 1 species